GAAAGGUUGGUUUUGGACGGAGACCCGCUUGUGUCCAAUGUCUCCACCUAACAAGGCAAUGGACCUAAGAGGUUCUGUCAACCGGCAUCUCCAACGUCCUCCUCCGCUUCCCCAUGUGCAAGUCAGCGGAAAAAAGCAUCCGCGCCAUGAAACCCUCACCACUCGUCUUCAGCGCCAUUGAUGCGCCUGCCAGGACGGCACUUACGGCGCCAGCUGCAGCGCUGUAAUUCUGUGCUCCUUCGUCUUCCCCUCCUUCAUCCAGCUGCGUCCCAGGACAUCAGCCUGACUUCUCCUUUGUCUUUUGUUUCCACUCGGCUUCCUCCUUCAACUCCAAAGCCUCUUAUCCAUCUCUCUUUUAUAAAGCCGCUACUCUUCUGUCUUAUCUCAUAUCUCCCCUCGCCGCCUAUUUCCCGGUUUAACACUCAAUCCGGACUUCUGCUUCCUCUACUUUCUUUCUUUGACCUCUGAAGCAGACGCCGGCCUCCGGACCGGACUGCAGGGGACGGGGCGUCGGCCUCGACGGGAUCGUCCCACCGAACUGGACCAUCGGCGAAACAGCAAAUGCGUUCCAAUCAUCUCUUCGCAUUGAGCUCGAGUCGGCUGAUCCUCGGAGCCGGAUGAUCGAAUGGAAGCGGCGUCGCGCCAACCGGGAGCCGAUCCCGCGGUUUUAAUCCACGGCGGCGAGCCGGGCCGCGCCGGGGGCUGCUUACGCUCCGGGCUGCUAACGAGGCGAUCGAUCACACAGAGGUUCACAGAUGUGUGCGCGGCAGCAAGAGGGAGGCACCACAUCCAUUUUGAUAAUGAAAUAUCGGCCUCUGCUGAGAAAGUUCCUCGACCUGCCGCUGCAGUUGAAGUCGGAACACGUUUUCAUUAAUAUAAUGAUGUAUAAUGUUUCACACGCACACAGUAAGUCCUGUAGAUGCACAGAAAUCAGAAUAAAGCGUCUUGCCACAGUUAUUUAAUUCAA